UACGGAGGAUCCAAGCGUUAUCCGGAAUCAUUGGGUUUAAAGGGUCCGUAGGCGGUUUAAUAAGUCAGUGGUGAAAGCCUAUCGCUCAACGGUGGAACGGCCAUUGAUACUGUUAAACUUGAAUUAUUAGGAAGUAACUAGAAUAUGUAGUGUAGCGGUGAAAUGCUUAGAGAUUACAUGGAAUACCAAUUGCGAAGGCAGGUUACUACUAAUGGAUUGACGCUGAUGGACGAAAGCGUGGGUAGCGAACAGGAUUAGAUACCCCGGUAGUCC
rnacentral:rRNA from 1 species